UGCGCAGGAUAUCAGGAGGAACACCAGAGGCGAAGGCGGUACUCUGGACAUUUCCUGACGCUGAGAAGCGAAAGCGUGGGGAGCAAACAGGCUUAGAUACCCUGGUAGUCCACGCCGUAAACGGUGGGCACUAGGUGUGGGACCCAUUACCACGGGUUCCGUGCCGUAGCUAACGCAUUAAGUGCCCCGCCUGNGNNNACGCCCCCGNG
rnacentral:rRNA from 1 species